rnacentral:lncRNA from 1 species
ACUCGGGACCUCGAGUACCAACCACCAAGUCUUUUGCCACUUACGCUAGUGUUGUUAGAUACUUUUUGACAUGGAAAAACUAACUUAUGGUUUUAACUUUGCUUAAACUAAAAUAAUCAUAUAUAUCUAUAGAGCUAGACUGGUAUACUAUCGGUAGCACGGAGGCUUCCGUGCUACCAAGUUAUUUUCAAUGAUACGGCUUCCAAAUUGACGAUCGGCUCCGUUAGACUUGACCUACAUUAUUGAAAGCAUUUGAAAACUAAAUUUCAUAGUAUUUCGGCAUCAUUUACCUAUCAAACAAGUAGUGUAAAAAUGAAAGGCUGAAAAUAAAAAUUUUAUAAAAAAUGAUGAUAAAAGACUUGAAUUUAAUAUCAGAAGUACCGAUCUUACUCUAAAUAGUAAAAAAAAUUUUCUAUAAAAGUUUCAUCAGAUUUGGAUUAUUUUACACCGUUAAAUUCACAAAUGCAUCAAAUCUACCAUUAAAAUUGUCAAUUUUGAGACUUUUUGAUCACUAGCCAAAUGAUGCCGAAAAAUUAUGAAAUUUAGUUUCCAAAUACUUUUAAUAGUGUAGAUCAAGUCUAACGGAGCCGAUCGUCGAUUUGGAAGCCGCAUCAUUGAAAAUAACUUGAUAGCACGAAGGCCUCCGUGUUACCGAUAGUAUACCAACCUAGCUCUAUAUAUAUAU